rnacentral:rRNA from 1 species
UGGGGAGUAUUGCACAAUGGGGAAACCCGUGCAUGCAGCGAUGCCGCGUGAGGGAAGAAGGUUUUCGGAUUGUAAACCUCUGUGGAGGGGGAGCGAUAAUGACGGUACCCCUUAGGAAGCCACGGCUAACUACGUGCCAGCAGCCGCGGUAAUACGUAGGUGGCGAGCGUUGUCCGGAAUUACUGGGUGUAAAGGGAGCGUAGGCGGGAAAGCAAGUCAGAAGUGAAAACUAUGGGCUCAACCCAUAGCCUGCUUUUGAAACUGUUUUUCUUGAGUGAGUCAGAGGCGAGCGGAAUUCCCAGUGUAGCGGUGAAAUGCGUAGAUAUUGGGAGGAACACCAGUGGCGAAGGCGGCUUGCUGGGGCUUUACUGACGCUGAGGCUCGAAAGCGUGGGGAGCAAACAGGAUUAGAUACC